AUCAAUUUUAGAAUAAGUGUGAUGUGGUGCUGAGAAGAAUGUAUAUUCUGUUGAUUUGGGGGGGGAGAGUUUUGUAGCUAUCUAUUAGGUCUGCAUGGUCCAGAGCUGAGUUCAAUUCCUUCAUUUCUAAGAUAUA